rnacentral:rRNA from 1 species
AUACGGAGGGGGUUAGCGUUGUUCGGAAUUACUGGGCGUAUAGCGCACGUAGGCGGAUUGGAAAGUUGGGGGUGAAAUCCCAGGGCUCAACCCUGGAACUGCCUCCAAAACUAACAGUCUAGAGUUCGAGAGAGGUGAGUGGAAUUCCAAGUGUAGAGGUGAAAUUCGUAGAUAUUUGGAGGAACACCAGUGGCGAAGGCGGCUCACUGGCUCGAUACUGACGCUGAGGUGCGAAUGCGUGGGGAGCAAACAGGAUUAGAAACCCGUGUAGUCC